GAUAGAUUGGUAGAAGAAUUAGGGAGGGUGAGUGGCUGGAUAUGGUAAGACACCAACUUGGAAAUGUGCAUUAGAGAGUAUUAGAGAGACCCUCCACAUGGGAAAAAAUCCAGUCAAAGCAAUAUCUUAAGAAUCUUCCAUUUCACCCACCACAGGACUCCAAAUGGCCACAGCUACUAAAACAGGAGGAAUAAGAGCAACUAACUAAAAGAAUUCACGUGUUUGUAUCUUUAUUUCCCUUCCAAUAUUUAAGCCAAGGUUCUGCAGAAAGGAACUCAUUGAGCACACACCGAAUUCAUUCAUUCCACAAAACUGACAGCAAAAUUGCAGAGUUCAUACCAAACUCAUUUGGCUGCCUCAAAUGAAUGACGUAGAGCCUUUGGAAUAUGGAUGAUUCCUUCUAACCCCCAUUUUUACUCAUUAACAUGCCUCCCCUGGAAUUGCUACAGACCUGGACUUGAGCUUGAUAAUGCAGGUUUCAGAAUAAAACCAAAGAAGCUUGGGAGAUGCUGUCCAGAGCUCUGUGGCAUUCCUCUGCCACUUGGGAUCAGGUCAGACUGUGAAGAACACAAAGGGCUCAUCAACCCAGUAGAUCUUACAUCAAAAUACUUUUGCUCUCUUUUCCUAAUGAACAAUCACUUCGUCGCAGAGUAAACUGGCUUAUGAACGAAAGCAGUAUUGACCUAAGUUCUCAGUGUGAAAAGCAGUGGAGGAAGGAAAAAGAAAUUCUAGAACGUUUCCCUCUAUCCCUGAUCUGUAGAAUACAGCCAAGCCAACAGAGAAUCAUAGAUGGUGUUCUGCACAUGUUUAAUUUCCUGUGCCUCGUGUUUAGAGCUCAACGCUGCCUUACCCUGUGAAAUGUACCCUGCCAACUUAUUAGGCAGAGUUUAGCCUGAAAUUUGUUAAAUGUUUUCUUUACGAGCCUGCAGCUAAAUGUAAAUAAAUGUAAUAGGAUGCAUUUAUUUAUGAAAUGGGAAAUGCUGAGGAAACUAGUGCAAAAUGACUUCCAGGGGAUUUAGGUUAGUUUACAUCUGCUCAUCCUGUGCCAGCUAUUCACUGAGAAUGUCUGUGUCUUAUCUAUAGCAAAAAAAAAAAAAAAAAAAAAAACUAAAAAUUAUAUUAAAGUAUUUGAUACACUUACUACUUUCUGAAUACACGAGAGAUCUGUCAUUUUUUUAAACUGCCACAUCUAAAUGAUCAAAUGAUCAUUAUUUUUUAAAUUAUUUUAUAUGUUAAGAACCUAUGGCUGAG
rnacentral:lncRNA from 9 species